rnacentral:rRNA from 1 species
AUUGAACGCUGGCGGCAGGCCUAACACAUGCAAGUCGAGCGGCUGAAGGGAGUUUGCUCCUGGAUUCAGCGGCGGACGGGUGAGUAAUGCCUAGGAAUCUGCCUGGUAGUGGGGGAUAACGUCCGGAAACGGGCGCUAAUACCGCAUACGUCCUGAGGGAGAAAGUGGGGGAUCUUCGGACCUCACGCUAUCAGAUGAGCCUAGGUCGGAUUAGCUAGUUGGUGGGGUAAAGGCCUACCAAGGCGACGAUCCGUAACUGGUCUGAGAGGAUGACCAGCCACACUGGAACUGAGACACGGCCCAGACUCCUACGGGAGGCAGCAGUGGGGAAUUUUGGACAAAGGGGGAAAGCCUGAUCCAGCCAUGCCGCGUGUGGGAAGAAGGUCUUCGGAUUGUAAAGCGCUUUUGGUUGGGAGGAAGGACAGUGGGUUAAUACCUCGCGGUGAUGACGGUACCGGAAGAAUAAGCACCGGCUAACUUCGUG